rnacentral:rRNA from 1 species
ACGGAAGGCAGCAGUGGGGAAUAUUGGGCAAUGGGCGCAAGCCUGACCCAGCAACGCCGCGUGAGGGAAGAAGGCUUUCGGGUUGUAAACCUCUGUCCUUGGUGACGAAGGAAGUGACGGUAGCCAAGGAGGAAGCCCCGGCUAACUACGUGCCAGCAGCCGCGGUAAUACGUAGGGGGCAAGCGUUGUCCGGAAUGAUUGGGCGUAAAGGGCGCGUAGGCGGCCUGUUAAGUCUGGAGUGAAAGUCCUGCUUUUAAGGUGGGAAUUGCUUUGGAUACUGAUGGGCUUGAGUGCAGGAGAGGUAAGUGGAAUUCCCAGUGUAGCGGUGAAAUGCGUAGAGAUUGGGAGGAACACCAGUGGCGAAGGCGACUUACUGGACUGUAACUGACGCUGAGGCGCGAAAGUGUGGGGAGCAAACAGGAUUAGAUACCCUGGUA